GUAACUAUGCCAACUAGCGAUCCGUCGGUGUUAAAUAUUGACUCGACGGGCAGCUUCCGGGAAACCAAAGUUUUCAGGUUCCGGGGGAAGUAUGGUUGCAAAGCUUAAACUUAAAGGAAUUGACGGAAGGGCACCACCAGGAGUGGAGCCUGCGGCUUAAUUUGACUCUACACGGGGAAACUCACCCGGCCAGGACACAAUAAGGAUUGACAGAUUGAUAGCUCUUUCUUGAUUUUGUGGGUGGUGGUGCAUGGCCGUUCUUAGUUGGUGGAGCGAUUUGUCUGGUUAAUUCCGAUAACGAACGAGACUCUAGCCUAUUAAAUAGAUGAUAUAUCGUCUUCGUAUAUCAAGCUUCUUAGAGGGACGAGCAGCUUCUAGCUGCACGAGAUUGAGCAAUAACAGGUCUGUGAUGCCCUUAGAUGUCCGGGGCUGCACGCGCGCUACAAUGAAAAUAGCAGCGCGUGUCGAAAACCUUUUCUGGAAAGAAUUGGUAAACGCUAAAUAUUUUCGUGAUAGGGAUAGGGGAUUGAAAUUAUUGCCCUUGAACGAGGAAUUCCCAGUAAGUUCGAGUCAUCAGCUCGGGUUGAUUACGUCCCUGCCCUUUGUACACACCGCCCAUCGCUACUACCGACUGGAAGAUUGAGUGAAUUCUUCGGACUGACGUCGAAACGGAUGUAAAAGUUCGUAUCGUACGUUGGAAAGAUGAAUAAACCCUGUCUUCUAGAGGAAGUAAAAGUC
rnacentral:rRNA from 1 species